AUAAAAGAGAAAAAAAGAAUGGCCGACACUCCCGCUUACUGUGACCCAAAAAACACGUGCCCAAAGACAGCCGGGUUUUACCGGAGACGAAUCGAGAACUGCACGCGAGACUGAUUCUUCUUCGCGGAGUGCUAGACCAUGUGACAUAAUCCUGUAGGAGGAAUAGUACUUUGUCCCGAAUGAACAUGGAACUCUUGUCCUGUGGGACGUAGGAUCGAAUUUUCGAAAUAGACGAGGACAAAAAAUUUCUUAGGGCACAAUAGAAAGGGAUGACCCAAAAAUACCUACUUAGAUUUCAAAAUCGAGUCCGGUUGUGAUUUCAUAAGAAUAAAAAAAUUCACCACCGACUCCGAUCCAAAGGGUCACAGGAUCUUGGACGAUUUUGAGUAAAUCCGAAAAUAAAGGAAACGCCGUAAGGUCACGAGAGGAAAGGGCAGAAGAGAUUUUUGAAAAUGGUCCCAUGGGCCCUAAGGAAAGUUCUCCCCUUCUCCUCCAGCCCUGACGGAACGUAAAUUGA